UACAGAGGGUGCAAGCGUUAAUCGGAGUUACUGGGCGUAAAGGGCGCGUAGGCGGUUUAUUAAGUGAGAUGUGAAAUCCCUGGGCUUAACCUAGGAACUGCAUCUCGAACUGAUAAGCUGGAGUAUGAUAGAGGACAGUGGAAUUUCCGGUGUAGCGGUGAAAUGCGUAGAUAUCGGAAGGAACAUCAGUGGCGAAGGCGACUGUCUGGAUCAAUACUGACGCUGAGGCGCGAGAGCGUGGGGAGCAAACAGG
rnacentral:rRNA from 1 species